rnacentral:rRNA from 1 species
GACGAACGCUGGCGGCGUGCUUAACACAUGCAAGUCGAACGAUGAAGAGAGAAGCUUGCUUUUUUUGGAUUAGUGGCGAACGGGUGAGUAACACGUGAGUAACCUGCCCUUGGCUCUGGGAUAAGCGCUGGAAACGGCGUCUAAUACUGGAUAUAACUUCUUGCCGCAUGGUGGGGGGUGGAAAGAUUUUUUGGCCAUGGAUGGGCUCGCGGCCUAUCAGCUUGUUGGUGGGGUAGUGGCCUACCAAGGCGACGACGGGUAGCCGGCCUGAGAGGGUGACCGGCCACACUGGGACUGAGACACGGCCCAGACUCCUACGGGAGGCAGCAGUGGGGAAUAUUGCACAAUGGGCGAAAGCCUGAUGCAGCAACGCCGCGUGGGGGAUGACGGCCUUCGGGUUGUAAACCUCUUUUGGUAGGGAAGAAGCCGCAAGGUGACGGUACCUGCAGAAAAAGGACCGGCUAACUACGUGCCAGCAGCCGCCG